rnacentral:rRNA from 2 species
GGUUCCGGCGAAAGGUGAUGAGAGUCUGACGGAGCACGCCGCGUGAGUGAUGAAGGCUUUCGGGUCGUAAAACUCUGUUGUUAGGGAAGAACAAGUGCUAGUUGAAUAAGCUGGCACCUUGACGGUACCUAACCAGAAAGCCACGGCUAACUACGUGCCAGCAGCCGCGGUAAUACGUAGGUGGCAAGCGUUAUCCGGAAUUAUUGGGCGUAAAGCGCGCGCAGGUGGUUUCUUAAGUCUGAUGUGAAAGCCCACGGCUCAACCGUGGAGGGUCAUUGGAAACUGGGAGACUUGAGUGCAGAAGAGGAAAGUGGAAUUCCAUGUGUAGCGGUGAAAUGCGUAGAGAUAUGGAGGAACACCAGUGGCGAAGGCGACUUUCUGGUCUGUAACUGACACUGAGGCGCGAAAGCGUGGGGAGCAAACAGGAUUAGAUACCCCGGUAGUCA